rnacentral:misc_RNA from 1 species
CUCGCCACACUAGAGCCGCUUGUAUUACACGUGACUUCAGACCAGCAGCUGGUGAAGAGUGAGCUCCGUCCGAGCGUCUGUGGUUCUUAAAAGAUUUUUUUGCAACAGCAAUCAGCGGGAAGUUCUUGAAGUUGGCGCGUUGCUUUGAGAGGAUGAGGCUUCUGCUAGUGUUGUCCGCCCUGGCCCUGGGCUCGGCCCUGGCCGCCCCGCAAGGAAUCGACGCUGACGCCGAAAUCCUUCCCGGAGGCAUCAGGCCCCCGAGGCGUCGCCCCACAGCCAGAGGGAACGAUGACGACGGCUUCCAGAUCCUGGUGUUGGAGCCCCCGCGGCGGACUACUAGUCUCAUGUCCACCCUCCUCCGAGAACUGUUUGGACUCGGAGGUACUCUUGGAAGACGUACUGGAGGAGGAGCCUCCCCCGACACCCGGACUCAAGCUGGGGAAGAUGCCACGCCACUUCAGGAGUCCGGCAACACCCCGAACCUGUUCUUCGACAGACCAUUCUUCACUGAUAUCUUCAGACGCCCCUUCUUCCCCCGAGUGCCGUCUUUCUCCGGCCUGCCGUCCAUCGACUUCUUCCCGGACCUCACAGAUUUGCCUGACAAUUAUGACAACUCCACCCACGAGGUGAAGAUGGUCAACGGGUCCCGCGUUGAGAUGAACCGCACCGUCUCCAAGACGACCAACGACAAUGGUGGCGUCUUCUACACUCACGUGCACACCAUUAGGAGAUUGCCGGAGAGCGCUCCAGACGCCGACAACAACGUGUCGGCCGCUGGAGGUGGUCCCCAGGAGUCCCCUGAGGAAGCUGAUGCCCAGACACCCAAGUCUGGCACAGUGCCACAGGGCAAUUCCGCCGACAACCAGGUGGAUCCGUAUGAGGACUUUGGGCUGGCUUCAGGAGCCGCACAAACACGCCCCCGCCGAUGGAUGUUCAGGUGGCUUCAGGAUCCCUCCAGGCGCGCCUCGACCCGCGCCCCCGCCCUCCACAACCACCCCAACUCCCUACAUCUACCCACCGACAAGAUCACAUACAACCUUAAACCCAAAUCUGCCACCGAGCUGAAGGUAGAGGACGAGAUCUGGAGUAACCGAGUGCCUACACAUUCCUCCCGGCCAAUCAACAGUGUUAUUGUGCCUAAGCCCACCACCCGGCCAAUCAGUAGUGCCAGAGUGCCAAUCAUCAACAACAGUGACAUAGCCGUCAACUACAUCGGCCGAGUUCCUCGACCGUCCAAUCCGGACGCCGAGAUCUUUGAUAUUGAUCUCGUCCGGAAAAAUGAGCGGGAAUAUUUCGAAGGGCUUUCCCAGCCAAUAAGAGGACAGCCACAUGCAUCCCAGCCAAUCACUUCACAGCCUAUGCUCUCCCGGCCGCUCAGGUCACAGCUGAUGUACCAGCCAAUCAAUUCGCAGCCGAUAUUCCAACCAAUCAGAUCACAGCCGAUGUUCCAACCAAUCAGGUCGCAACCCAUAAGGUUAUAAGCAAUAGUGUAAGUCUUCAUGCGCAAUCCCAAAGAAUCAAGCUUCCCUAAGCUGAUUGUUGCCUAAAUAAGCUUUAAUUUAUUAAAAGUUGCUUAUAUCCAAAUGUCACGUAAUAUAUUUUGGUCUCUAAUUCCUCCACGACCCCAUCAGGUAGCUUCCUCCACGACCCCAUCAGGUAGCUUCCUCCACGACCCCAUCAGGUAGCUUCCUCCACGACCCCAUCAGGUAGCUUCCUCCACGUCCCCAUCAGGUAGCUUCCUCCACGACCCCAUCAGGUAGCUUCCUCCACGUCCCCAUCAGGUAGCUUCCUCCACGUCCCCAUCAGGUAGCUUCCUCCACGACCCCAUCAGGUAGCUUCCUCCACGUUCCCAUCAGGUAGCUUCCUCCACGUCCCCAUCAGGUAGCUUCCUCCACGUCCCCAUCAGGUAGCUUCCUCCACGUCCCCAUCAGGUAGCUUCCUCCACGUCCCCAUCAGGUAGCUUCCUCCACGUCCCCAUCAGGUAGCUUCCUCCACGUCCCCAUCAGGUAGCUUCCUCCACGUCCCCAUCAGGUAGCUUCCUCCACGUCCCCAUCAGGUAGCUUCCUCCACGUCCCCAUCAGGUAGCUUCCUCCACGUCCCCAUCAGGUAGCUUCCUCCACGUCCCCAUCAGGUAGCUUCCUCCACGUCCCCAUCAGGUAGCUUCCUCCACGUCCCCAUCAGGUAGCUUCCUCCACGUCCCCAUCAGGUAGCUUCCUCCACGCCCCCAUCAGGUAGCUUCCUCCACGCCCCCAUCAAGUAGCUUCCUCCACGACCCCAUCAGGUAGCUUCCUCCACGUCCCCAUCAGGUAGCUUCCUCCACGCCCCCAUCAGGUAGCUUCCUCCACGUCCCCAUCAGGUAGCUUCCUCCACGACCCCAACAGGUAGCUUCCUCCACGUCCCCAUCAGGUAGCUUCCUCCACGCCCCCAUCAGGUAGCUUCCUCCACGUCCCCAUCAGGUAGCUUCCUCCACGUCCCCAUCAGGUAGCUUCCUCCACGACCCCAACAGGUAGCUUCCUCCACGACCCCAACAGGUAGCUUCCUCCACGUCCCCAUCAGGUAGCUUCCUCCACGCCCCCAUCAGGUAGCUUCCUCCACGUCCCCAUCAGGUAGCUUCCUCCACGUCCCCAUCAGGUAGCUUCCUCCACGUCCCCAUCAGGUAGCUUCCUCCACGUCCCCAUCAGGUAGCUUCCUCCACGUCCCCAUCAGGUAGCUUCCUCCACGUCCCCAUCAGGUAGCUUCCUCCACGUCCCCAUCAGGUAGCUUCCUCCACGUCCCCAUCAGGUAGCUUCCUCCACGUCCCCAUCAGGUAGCUUCCUCCACGACCCCAACAGGUAGCUUCCUCCACGACCCCAACAGGUAGCUUCCUCCACGCCCCCAUCAGGUAGCUUCCUCCACGUCCCCAUCAGGUAGCUUCCUCCACGUCCCCAUCAGGUAGCUUCCUCCACGUCCCCAUCAGGUAGCUUCCUCCACGUCCCCAUCAGGUAGCUUCCUCCACGUCCCCAUCAGGUAGCUUCCUCCACGUCCCCAUCAGGUAGCUUCCUCCACGUCCCCAUCAGGUAGCUUCCUCCACGACCCCAUCAGGAAACUUCCUCGACUAAUAAGACGGAGCAGCUCUAUUUAUUUCUGAUUUGGUGAUGUGCUGUUGUGUAUGCUUGGUACACUGAUGUGUAUGCUUGGUACACUGAUGUGUAUGGUUGGUACACUGAUGUGUGUAUGGUUGGUACACUGAUGUGUAUGGUUGGUACACUGAUGUGUAUGGUUGGUACACUGAUGGGUAUGCUUGGUACACUGAUGUGUAUGGUUGGUACACUGAUGUGUAUGCUUGGUACACUGAUGUGUAUGCUUGGUACACUGAUGUGUAUGGUUGGUACACUGAUGUGUAUGGUUGGUACACUGUUGUGUAUGGUUGGUACACUGAUGUGUAUGGUUGGUACACUGUUGUGUAUGCUUGGUACACUGAUGUGUAUGCUUGGUACACUGAUGUGUAUGGUUGGUACACUGAUGUGUAUGCUUGGUACACUGAUGUGUAUGCUUGGUACACUGAUGUGUAUGCUUGGUACACUGAUGUGUAUGCUUGGUACACUGAUGUGUAUGCUUGGUAUACUGCUGUGUAUGCUUGGUACACUGUUGUGUAUGGUUGGUAUACUGCUGUGAAUGGUUGUCGUUAGUAUGUGUAUUGUUGCCGAGCUGCUGGGUAUGUUUGGUGUGGUGUUGGGUAUGGUUGGUGUGUCUCCAACACCAACAUUCAAUCAUCAACUUACAAUACUCAUUUGUACACAAUCAAAGAAUUGUUCGUGAUAAAAAAUAUGUAUUAAUUAAAGACAUAAUUAUGUUCUGUCCUCAGUGUGUGUGUGUGUGUGUGUGUGUGUGUGUGUGUGUGUGUGUGUGUGUGUGUGUGUGUGUGUGUGUGUGUGUGUGUGUGUGUGUGUGUGUGUGUGAGCAUAACUGUAGCCUUGUAUUAACUAACAUUAUAACAGAUAAUCACACUUAUACCAAAGAUAAUACAUAUUCUCUGUGGCUCGAUUCUACUGAACUAGCGUCUGUCUGUGGGUAUGUUUUGAACGAUUACCUGGGUAUUUUUAAUUAUUUAUGUAUUAUUUUUAAUAAAUGAAUUACUUUUGGUAA